UUUUCUUUCUUCUUUUUUUUUUUUUUUUUCCCACAGUGGUGCAAGAAUAUUAAAAGAACCACAGAGAAACCACAGAGACCCAAGGAGAGGGGAGCAGCCAGAGCGAGGUCUCACCAGUGCUGAGGCAGCAAACUCCAACCAGAGUCGCUCCAGGGGCAAACCUUUCCUCAAAGACAAACUGUGCAAAAUAUGACAAAGAUUGGAGCUGCUGGGAAUCAGAAAGGUGAAGUGCAAAAGUGCAAGAGCACGGCACCAUGUGAGCCUCGGCGGAGAAGUUUAACUCUGUCCCAGCCAAAACCAGGACAGGGGCAACGUUUGCUUAAAAUUCAUUUACAGUUUUCAAGCAUGAAAAUUGUCUUUCUGUCCAGCUUAAGGUGGAGUCAACGGCAAAAUCAUUCAGAAAAAAUCUCAGGUCAGGUCUUACAACAGGAGAGACUUGUGCAGAAGUGGCUGCUCCAAGAGGAGCUCUUGCUGGCACAUCAAGGACCCAAAGCAUUAAGCUUACACAGCCUGAGCUCACUGUGAUACCAGGUGAGCUGGGCCCUCCUUUACACAGCAUCUCCACAUGUGACGUAUUGCACAAGGUUCGUGCAGUGAUUAGAAAUGUCAGGCUGGAAGGAAUCUCUUGGAUCAUCAAAAACAGCUCCUUCGUAUCACUGACACUGCAUUUCCAUCUCGUGUACAUUACAGGUAUUGUGGUUUUCUUCCUUUCUAGUAUAGCAUGUUUUUGCUCUGUCCUUCACCACUACAGCAAAUACAUUUCUGCAUUUACACGUUCAUGCACUUGAACUCACACGACCUCGGUGCCCUAUUUGUCUUCUCCCCAUUCUGAUAUUUUACCUGCAGAGCGCUGAUAACUCGUUAUUUCUUCUGCAUGGCUCUAGUAUCUCACCUAAGCCACUUUGUAACGCCAUCGCUUUCUCAUCUUUUAUUCUUACUCAUUUUGUCCCAUUAGUUAAUAAUCUGCCAUCGCCACCUGCUACCUUUGCCCUUCAUUUGCCCAUUUCUCCCCUUUCUUUCCCCCAAGGGCCUGGCAGACGGCACCGUCGGAACUGUUCAGAAGUCAGAAGGCUCUGAGUCCAAAUUCAUUUGGUUGUAAUGAGACCAGCCCAAAAGAAGCACGAGUCAAAGACUAGCAGCUGAGUGCCAAAGAAGAUCCCUGACCCCUACAUACAGACGUGUGGACAUAUGCAUCUCCAGCUGCGUGUCCCAUGUUGCUCUGCCAUCUCACACGUAUCCCCAGGGCUUUGUCCUUCCCUGGGCACGCAGAAAUCCUUCAGCACAUUCGUUCCAGUUUGAAGCGGUCGUUGUUGAAUGCAGGGGAGCAGAGGCACACACAGUAAGUGCCUCAUUGCCUUGGACAACGCUCUGAUUUUCUCUCUACUGGCAAUACACAAACCGGGCUUUUGGAAUUGUUCUUCCUUUCCCAUGGCUAAAUCGCACUGACAGCUUAUAAUUACAGGAUAUGAUUAAUUAGUAUGUCAAGGUCCUGCUCAUCUCGUUACGUCCAGUUACUGUGCACCCACUCCUGGAGCAGAAGCUUGUGUUACUGCCCCCAGACAACUCUGUGUGCUGCUGGGUUUCACUCUGAGUUGCUGAUUACCAGUUUUGUCUGUGUGCACGUUGCUGAGAUUUCCCAAAUUUGUGUUGUCAGCUCAUUUUCUUGGGAUAUUCCUGACUUUUGGUGCUGAUGUCACUGAUAAAAAUCCUAAGAUUCAUGGCUGGACUGAGUGACUUCAGUAGGAUCCUCCAUCCAAACUGAUUUCCUGCCUUUAGGCCUAUCCAUACUAAGACCCUUUAAACCAGUUCUUUACAUUUACUUUAUAUCCAUCUUCUCAAGCUUUGCUACCAGUUUUCCACAUAGUUUCUCGUACCAAUUGUAUUACUGAAGAUACACCUUAUUUUUUUCUGGGCAGAAAACCAUUUACACUGAAUUAGUCUGCACAUACCUUGGGCAAGAUCGUGUUGCUUUCUCUCCCGGUAGAUUUUACUUGAAAACUUCCAGAGCCUUGCAUAGAGAAUCAGGGAAUCCUUAGAGUUGGAAGGGACCUCUGAAGGCCAUCCAGUCCAACUCCCCUGCAAUGAACAGGGACACCACAGUGAGAUCAGGUUGCCCAGGGGCUGGUCCAGCCUGGCACUGAAAGUCUCCAGGGACGGGGCAUCCACAUCUCUGGGCAACGCAUUCCAACACCUCACCACCCUCACUGUAAAAGGCUUUUUCCUUAUAUCCAACCUUAUAAUAUUUCAGGGACAAGCAGCCCCAGGCUUCCUACGUGUUCCCAGGCACCUCACUCCCGCUGAUGGCAUCGAGUUGUUAAGUGAUUCAAGUUUUAAGAGACGUAGUUCACUACUUUCACUCGGGGUCCCUUAAAAAGGCAAAAGGUCGUCACUGAAAAACCAACAUUAGCAGCACUAGCGGCCAUAAAAUCAUACGCUUUUUAUUUAACAUAAAAUGAAACAUGAAGAUAAAAUACACAUUUGCCCAUGUGCUGAAGAACUACGGUAUUUUACAUUCAUUUAUAAAGCAGGUAGUUUUACAUGACAAAAAGAAGGGAGAGGAAGAGGAAUGG